GUGAAAAUCUUUUUUCUUCUCUUCUAUCCUGCAGGUGUUUGUCUACACAUGUUAUGUGCUGACAGAAGUCUGGCACAUCAGACUUCUCACUGCACCAAAUUAAGGCUGGCCAAUAUCCUGUUUCUCCACCAUGGGCCAGCAGACCUGUGCUGUGGGUCAGAGUACUGUUUUUGACUUCAGAUGAAAAGCUGAUUUCAGGUCAGCCAACCCAAUAAGCGCAUGUAACACAAACGCCACACCCUCUUAAUUUCCUGUCAUAAUAAAAAAAUCAGUAAAUCAACUCAGCACGCAACGGGGCAUGUGGGAGCUUGUCGAUAUUUUGAAGCUUGUCUUAAAAGAAAGAUGCAUCAGAAAAUGUGUGUUUUAAUGCUUUUGUCAAGGUGAUGUGAGGAAAACAAUUAGUAAAAAAAAAACAGGCCUUAUGAUUAGUGAGGAUUCAUAGAAUGACAGGAUGAGAUGAAGCACAGAAAAGCAUUACAAAUUCUAAUGUCUGUGGGGACUUGGAGAUGUGAUAUGAGCCUAGGACGCCGCUGCUGAGAUUUGGAGGGGUGUGUGUGUGUGUGUUUGUGGGGUAUUUGUGUGCUUGCCUAUGUGUGAAGGGGAAUAUUUAUGGGUGGGUGUGCAUGUGUGUAUCAAACAGACAGAUGAACAGACAGAAAUAGCCAGAAGAUGAAAGUGAGAUAUGUGGGAAUGCAGACGGGGUGAGAGAAAAUAGAGGAGAGGAGGUUUUGGGGUGUGAAUGGAAAAGCAAGUGAGACUGAAACUAUUUAUUGGUGGAUUUACCGGGACAAUAACAAGCUGGGGUUGAUAUUUCAACAUCCUAUCAGUGCCAUGUUGUGUUUGUGUAAAAUUAACUACUUGAGUAGUAAUAAAUGGUUCUGCUAGUUC